rnacentral:lncRNA from 10 species
ACUAUCUGUGCUGAGUUUUUCAAAGGUCAGAGCAGAUUGAACCAUUGUGGUUUCAUUUUCCCUGAUUUUGAUUUUUCUUAUGGGGAACCUGUGUGGCUGCAUUCAAGAAGAUGGUCCAGGAGAAGCUCAUUCCAUGCCUGUUAACCAGGCACGCCCCUAAGUUCCAGUCCCUGAGUCAUUCAUGAGUAGCACUGCCAAUGAACUGACAGCCAUGCUGUGUCCCUCCACAUCCCCUAGGUGACUCGAAGAAGCCUUCCAAAAAGCAUGUGAAAAGGAAGCCCUACUCUACUACCAAGGUGACUUCAGGGAGCACAUUCAAUGAGAAUACAAGAAGAUAUGCUGUGCACACCAACCAGUGUAGGAGACCUCAUGGCUCCCGGGUAAAGAAGAAGAGGUACCCACAAGAAGAUGACUUCCAUCAUACAGUCUUCAGCAACCUUGAAAGAUUGGACAAGCUUCAGCCCACUCUUGAAGCCUCUGAGGAGUCUCUAGUUCACAAGGACAGAGGAGAUGGAGAGAGGCCAGUCAACGCGAGGGUGGUGCAGGUGGCCCCUCUGAGGCUUGAAUCUA